UAUUAUCCGCUCUAUGUAGCGGUAUAUAAGGUUAGCGCGCUGACCGCGUGUUACCCACUUAAUGUGCUUACAUUGGAAGGAAAUU